GAGAAGCUUGCUUCUCUGAUGUUAGCGGCGGACGGGUGAGUAACACGUGGAUAACCUACCUAUAAGACUGGGAUAACUUCGGGAAACCGGAGCUAAUACCGGAUAAUAUUUUGAACCGCAUGGUUCAAAAGUGAAAGACGGUCUUGCUGUCACUUAUAGAUGGAUCCGCGCUGCAUUAGCUAGUUGGUAAGGUAACGGCUUACCAAGGCAACGAUGCAUAGCCGACCUGAGAGGGUGAUCGGCCACACUGGAACUGAGACACGGUCCAGACUCCUACGGGAGGCAGCAGUAGGGAAUCUUCCGCAAUGGGCGAAAGCCUGACGGAGCAACGCCGCGUGAGUGAUGAAGGUCUUCGGAUCGUAAAACUCUGUUAUUAGGGAAGAACAUAUGUGUAAGUAACUGUGCACAUCUUGACGGUACCUAAUCAGAAAGCCACGGCUAACUACGUGCCAGCAGCCGCGGUAAUACGUAGGUGGCAAGCGUUAUCCGGAAUUAUUGGGCGUAAAGCGCGCGUAGGCGGUUUUUUAAGUCUGAUGUGAAAGCCCACGGCUCAACCGUGGAGGGUCAUUGGAAACUGGAAAACUUGAGUGCAGAAGAGGAAAGUGGAAUUCCAUGUGUAGCGGUGAAAUGCGCAGAGAUAUGGAGGAACACCAGUGGCGAAGGCGACUUUCUGGUCUGUAACUGACGCUGAUGUGCGAAAGCGUGGGGAUCAAACAGGAUUAGAUACCCUGGUAGUCCACGCCGUAAACGAUGAGUGCUAAGUGUUAGGGGGUUUCCGCCCCUUAGUGCUGCAGCUAACGCAUUAAGCACUCCGCCUGGGGAGUACGACCGCAAGGUUGAAACUCAAAGGAAUUGACGGGGACCCGCACAAGCGGUGGAGCAUGUGGUUUAAUUCGAAGCAACGCGAAGAACCUUACCAAAUCUUGACAUC
rnacentral:rRNA from 1 species